GUAGUUGCAAGAAGCUAACGGUUGCAGCAGUUUUGUCUAAAGCUUCACGAUGUUUCCCUUGGCCAAAAACGCACUAAGUCGUCUCAGAGGUGAGAAAGAAUUGUGAGCUAAUCAUUUCCAAUGGCCUUUUAUCCAUUUGUCCUCGUGGGUCUUCCGCGCUCCCUUUCCUUCCACCUUCAUCCCGACCUUAUAAUUCUAAAUGGCAAUCUCUUACCUCGUUCCCAGUAAUUGGGAGGUUGUCCUCAACAUUAUCCUAAUCAUUCAGCGUUUCUGUUUCGGUUCCUAGCUUUUUCUUACUGGCGUCGUAAUCUAACUGCUUUUUUGUUAUUCAGUAACCUACAAUUUCAGGGGACACGUUUGGUGAACACUUCAUGUUCGUUAAGUCAUUUCCUAAAUUUUACUUUUGGGGAUACAUAUACCUGCAAAUAGAGCCUUUUCUCCAAAUCCUGGUUUCAUUGCAGGGAGGUAAAUGGUAGCCUUGCAGCUCUUAUGUUAUUUGUGGGUUAUUAGCUAAGUAAUUGUGUCGGAUUUGUUAACCACUGCGCCACGAUGGGAACUCCUGCUUUUUUUUUUUUUUUAAGGGCCGCACCCACAGCAUAUGGAGGUGCCCAGGCUCGGGAUUGAAUCGAGCUACAGCUGUAUCACAGUCACAGCAGCACCAGAUCUGAGCCGAAUCUGCGACCUAUACCACAGCUCAUGGCACAAUGCCAGAUCCUUAAUCCACUGAGCAAGGCCAGGGACCGAACCCGCAACCUCAUGGUUCCUAGUUGGAUUCGUCAACCACUGCACCAUGACAGGAACUCCCUCAUUAAGUAAAAUUUAAAAUUUAGUUCAGCCAUACUAGCUUCAUUUUGGUUGCUCAAUAGCUGUAUGUGACUAGUGGCAAUUGUAUUGUACAGUGCAGAUGUAAAACAUUUCCUUAGGGGUUCUCUUGUUGCACAGUGGGUUAAGGAUCCCAUGUUAUCACUGUGGGUGUGUUGGUUUGAUCCUGGCCUGGGAUCUUUUUUGGCAGGUGCAGCCAAAAAAGAAAAAAAAAAUUUCCUUUCUGGAAUUUUUUUGUUUCUUUUUCUAGGGCCACACCUGUGGCACAUGGAGGUUCCCAGGCUAGGGGUCUAAUCAGAGCUACAGCUGCUGGCCUUACACCACAGCCAUAUCAGAUCCGAAUAGUGUCUGCAACCUAUACCACGGGUCAUGGUUCCUACACAGAUUCAUUUCUGCUGCGCCAUGACGGGAACUGCCUUUUUUUUUUUUUGAAGACACAGUGGAAAUAGCUUGCUUAUUUAUUUAUUUAUUUAUUUUUGCUUUUUAGGGCCGCACCCAUAGUAUAUGUAUGUUCCCAGGCUGACAGGUAGAAUUGGAGCUACAGCUGUCAGCCUACACCACAGCUCACAGCAAUGCCGGAUCCCCAACCCACUGAGGAAGGCCGGGGAUUGAACCCUCAUCCUCAUGGAUACUAGUCUUAUUCGCUGUGCCACAACGGGAACUCCUGGAAGUUCUAUUGAACAGCCCUGACCUAGAGAAUAAGAACAGCAAUUAGGUUUGGCCUACAUGGAGGACACUUAUCCCGGGUGACUUUCUGUGUGUUUUUAACCUAUAAAGCAGAAUACCUCUGUCACUUUUUUUUUCUUUUUUUUUUUUUAAUCUACUCAACUUUUUUUUUUAAAUUUUAUUUAUUAUUAUUUUUUUUGUCUUUUUGCCAUUUCUUGGGCCGCUCCCGCGGCAUAUGGAGGUUCCCAGGCUAGGGGUCGAAUCGGAGCUGUAGCCACCGGCCUACGCCAGAGCCACAGCAAUGCGGGAUCCGAGCCGCGUCUGCAAUCUACACCACAGCUCACGGCAACGCCGGAUCGUCAACCCACUGAGCAAGGCCAGGGAUCAAAUCCGCAACCUCAUGGUUCCUAGUUGGAUUCAUUAACCACUGUGCCACGACAGGAACUCCCCUCUGUCACUUUUUAAGAAAUAGUCUCUAAAGGAGAGUGGACUCUGGUUGAAACAUAAAAUUGACAGAUUUUAAUUCUUACAGACAGCAACACAGAUUGGAAUAGAAUGGAACCUGUCCCCUGUUGGCAGAGUCACCCCAAAGGAAUGGAGAGAAGAAUAAUCAUCCCAUCUGGUUUAAUACUGAAUUGUUUCAAAACCACCUCAUAAUUGAUGCCAAGUAAAAGCACUGUGUACCCAUUAAAAUAUGGCAUGAUUGAAGAAAUAAAGUAUAUUUGAAACCU
rnacentral:lncRNA from 1 species